rnacentral:lncRNA from 1 species
AAAGUUACAAUCCAGCUUCCCCUGACCUCCCUCCUCCCUAAACCAUCAAUAGAUUUCUUCUCCACUCCGGCCAAAGACGGGAAGAUUUCUUGGGAUGGUUUGAUAUGGCUCGUUUCUUUAGGUAUUUUCUUUCUCUCUAUUAUUUCGUUUAAAUUCCUUUAAGUUUUGUUUUAAUUUAUUUUUGGUUGAAUCCUCACCUCUUCAUUAUUCUGUUUUCUUUCUUUGUUGGUCGAAUUUCAUCUUGUAUUGCUUGCGUUAGAUACAUGAACAGAAGUUGUUAUUUGAUAAGUGAAUUUGUUUGUUAGGUAAAUUAUUAUUACAUUCUCGAUAAUUCAUUGAUUGAAACUUCUGAAAUUAUUGUAAAAUGGCUUGUGCUUUUUGUUAUAGUUCGGUUUUAAUUUAAAUCAGUGAUGUUCUUCUUGAAGAAUUAUCUAUUUAUAUGCAAUCAGUCGUAGUGUUCGUAAACUCUUAAGUCUAGAACUUCAAAUGUGAUAUGUGUUGAACCAUUGGUCUUUAUUAUGGAUGCCAUUUGAUUUUAUCAGAGUUACUAUAUUGAAUUUCUGACUGAUUUGAUAAGUUUGAAUUGGUUAUAACUAAUGCGUUUAUUGGAUUAGAGCUAGUUCAUUUGUUUUCCGUCUUUAAUUAAGAAUUAGUUUAGGUUAAUUAGUAAUUAGAUUUCUUAUUCAAGAAUUGGUUAUAGCUAAUGUGGUCAUAUGGGCUUGAGGUAGAAUAGUUGUUCUGGGCAUAGGGGGGUAAUUUGGGGUGCCGAAAUUUGAAAAAUUCUUUAAUUUGAAUGGUUGUUAGUAAGGUACUAAUGGAUCAUUAAUUAUUGUAUAUUUGUAAGAGUAACGGGGAACAAGACAUAGCGAUGUAAAUAAAAGAAAAAGCGGCUUAGAAUGUAAAAAGAGGGGGAAUGAUAAUGAAAAGCUUAAAGGGUUCACAUAGUAGAAGAAUAUAGAAAGCUGGAAGUAAAAAGGAGUAGGGGGUAAUAAUAAAAGUUUUUCUUUUACAUCUGUAAAAGAAAAAAGAGGGGCUGGAAAAGGCUAAGGACUUAGGGUUUAAAUAUAGAGAUGAGUAGAGACAUAAAAGGGACUUGAACUGGAGGAAGAGUUGAGAGUCAAAAACACAGAGAGAGAGAAAGAGUUUUGAGAGAGCUUAAUAAAGCAUUGAGACUGAUUUUGAGAGGAAGAACAUUAGACUUUCUAGGCAAACAUACAAAAGCUACAAAGAUUAAAAAAAAAGUACUAUUCCAUUCAGUUUCCUAGUUUAAUUUUGAUUUUCAGUAGUUGGUUUUGAUCUUCUAACCUAGUUUUGAGUUGUUGGAGUUUCUUCUGAGAUCAAUUGGUCAAGUUUUGGAUGUGUUCGGAUUGUGUGGGUCAUUCUGAGCAAUAUUUGGUUGGUUUAGUAAGCUCCUGGGUCUAUUUGUUGGUGUUUUUGAAGCUGAAAUAUCUAUUGGUUGUCUGUUGAUGCUGUAUCACUAUUGACCGGUGUUACUGUGUUGUUGUUGUGACUGAUGAUGUAUUGCCACUGCUGACCAUUUCUUUCUCUAUUUCAAUUUGAAUUCCAGGUAUACUUUUCAUUGUCCCUUGAUCUGGAGGUUGAUUCACGUGUAUAAACCAUAUGUUGAGCCCAAUGAAUGAAGAAUGACUGUUGUUCGUUUGAGUUUGGAAUUGCU